CUGGCAGCAACCUGACACCUGUCAGGACCCAGCUGGAUGUUAUCCACCAUGGCUCUGAAGGUUUAAUCAGGGUGCUGAGAGAACCGCCACUUCUCCUGUCUGCUCUCCUGACUGUGAGCUUCACUUGGGCAGUGGCUGUGUGGGAUUCUUCUGUUCUUGGCACAUGGUGUGUUGUCUGGCACAUAAACAGCAGUUGAUAAAUAUUUGCUGAAUGAACAACUGUACUCCUCCACUCCAAGAGAGUGACAGAGUAAAGUCUCCCCACCCCGUUCCGUCCCCCACUAAAUCAGGGAGCCCUCCGGAAUUGGGAGAAUUGGACAGAAUGCCAAGGUUUGAAGGAUAAACACCAGCCUCCCAUCGGCAGCUUGACUAUCAUCCUGGCUUUAUCUGGCCAGUGAGAAUGAAAGGGGCUUUGUUACCAAGUGGACCAUUCCCAAACCGGCACGGUUCCCACUGUAAAGCCAGAAGGGGCUUUAGUGUCUUUUCAAGUUCUUUUCUAAACUCUCUUGAAUUUCAAGUCCCAGAGUCUGCUUUUCUUAUUGGAAAAUCUCCUGGUAUGAAGAGAUGGGGGGCAGGGAGCAAGAAACUCUAAGAGCACAUGAGAGGAUGGUGAGGAAAUGAGAAACCAAAUGAAAUGCCAAGGAAAGAAGUUACCAUUUUCUGAGCUUCCACUGUGUUCUGGACACAUCACAGACAACAUCUCAUUUCAUCCCUCUCAGGAGACCCAGCAGGAAAGUAUUCUCUGUGAGCAACCCCACUGCAACCACCACCCACUUAACAGAAUCCAUUUAAAGGGAUGGAAGAUUGAUGUCCAUGGCAUCCUCUGAACCUAAGAUCCUAAGACAUGUCACCCAUAAUCUGGUCACACCAUCCAAAAGAAACCCUGAAGGCACAGGAACAUGAAAUGUUCAAACAUACUUUGAAGACAAAGCAUAUUUUCUUCUUGUUG
rnacentral:lncRNA from 1 species